UUUUUUUUUUUUUUUUUAGGUCCACUCCCACUACAUAUGUAGAUUCCCAAGCUAGGUGUCAAAUUGGAGCUGUAGCUGUAGCUGCCAGCCUAUACCACAGCCAUAGCAAUGCCAGAUCUUUAACCCACUAAGUGAGGCCAGGGAUGUUACCCGCAUCCUCAUGGAUACUAAUCAGAUUUGUUUCUGCUGUGCCAUGACGGGAACUCCGAAGCCAUUAAUUUUGUCACAGAAAUUUAAUUUUCCCAGUAAAUUUCAGAUAUAUCCAUCCAAAAGGAUAUUUACCAAUCACAUGAGAAAUGUCUUUGUCUCAAAGUCAGAAGUGAUGUAUAUGUGUAAAUAUAUCCUCUGUCUGUGCAUAUCUCACUUUCAUGCAUAGAUGAUGCUCUUCUCUGUUCUAGGAACAGAGUUCUAGUGACCUUAGGCUCCAUUUUCCCCACUUUCUUUACAUAGGAGGCAGGUUCCUUCAGUACUAUGGUUUCUGUAUUUAUUUAUAGAUUUACUAGACCACCUCUGGCAAUUAAGCUCUUUAAAAGAAAAGAGGGGUUCCAUGUAGUUUAUAUUUACAGGAGAGGCUGAUGUUUAUGACUGAAUGAACUUCUAUGUUUCUCUUUUUUCUAGAACACAUUCAUGCAGGUCCAAGUGGUUCUGCUUCAGAGGAUCACGAGGUCAGGACUAUUGCAGACAUAGCUGUUUUUUCCACCAUUUUCUUCCUGGGAACCUAUCGUCCUGCACAGCCUGGGCUAAUACCCCCACAAGGAAUCUUGAUUCUUUUUAAGAGAAUAUCAGUGUGGGAUUCUAACUCACAGAUAAUUGUGUUUUCCCAUCAGCAUCUCACUCUACAAGGGGGAUGUCACAUCUGGUAACACCCUGUCCUCUAGAGGGACAGAGUCCCCUUCCUAAACUCUUGGACCCACUCCCUGAGGCAGGCUCACUACAUCCUAAGGACUUUAAAAUCUCCUCUCUGUGGAGGGGCUUGUUUAUUUGUUGGGAAAAAAAUUCGUCUCCUGGGACACCCACCCUUGUCCCCAGUGUUUGCCUAAAGGACUCUAGUUCUCAGUGGUGACCUCCUCCUCUCCUGACCCAUGUCCUCAGAUAUCAAAGGUGUCAGCAGUCCUCGGAUACUGAGAGCAAAUGUUUGUUCUGUCUUAGGAAGUGGAGGAAUUAUCCAACUGAUAUCAUUUCACCUUGAGAAGACAAAUAAUUUUUAUGUUCCAAAUACAAAUUAUAUUAUUGAAUACUUUUACUUAAACAGUUGAACAUAAGUUAUGCUCUAAGUUUUGAAGCUGAGGCAGGAGAUUCACUGAUGUUGUCUCUCAUGAGAAGCUCAUAUCACAGAAACUAGUGGCCUUCAGUUGUUCAUUCACUUGGUUGAUCCCACUGGGCUUUUCUCUCCCUCUGUCUCUGGGAGAAGUUGCCUUCUUUCCUUUAUUUGUGUGUGAUUCUUCACUUAAAGUUUUUUUAAAUUAUGUUCACUGAGGGGCUUAUUGGGCAAGAUUAGUCCUGCUGCUGCUACAGUAAUUUGGAUUCAUGAUGAGGUAAGAGUAAUAAAGGGAAGUAAAAGAAAGGCAAAGGAACUACAAUCACAUUUUCAAUACUUUAGACUUUUUUUUUCUUUCUUGUUGCUGCUUUCCUAGAAAGUAAAAUCUUACACCUGUUUUUUUCUGGCAAAAAGAAAACAAACAUAAGUCUGAAUGUCAUCAAUGUGAAAGAAGGGAAGUGGUUUUCCCCUCACACGAUGACAUAUUUGAAGUUCGCAAACUUCAGUGCAGCACAGAUGGGGACAAGGCUAUGCAGAGGGCAAGAGUGAGGCCAAUGAGAAUAACAGGAAGGCAGAAACUUGGCUCCUUCUGCUACAAACUCCAAGAAGACCCACUUCUCAGUCAGCUGACUGCCUUCAAAUUUGCAAGACAAGCCACCUGAUUUUUUAAAAUAUCUAUCGCACAUGUGAUUAAUUUUGAAGAGAGAAGGAAGCAGUCAGCUCACAAGAGACUAGAAACCAAAACCCUAGUUGGGAGAAAGCUAACCCACUUUGGCAGGAUUUUGGAGAUCAGGCUUGAUGAGCAUCUGUCUAGUUGAUAAAUCCACUUGGGCAAUGAAAAGAGUGCUUAGAGAAAACUAGAAUUAUAAGGAAGGGAAUUAGUUGAUUCUGGAAGAUCCCAAUCUUAAUCUGGAUCAGAGUAAUCGUGACAUUAAAAACUAACUGAAUUUCAUUAUUUCUUUGUCAUGAACUAACCACUUUGUAAGUUAUUUAAAAUGUUAACUCACUCCUUUCAGUAAUCCUAUUUGGAUCACACUUACUUUGACAGCUGGAAAGAUGUAUAAAUCUAGGCAGAUGAACCCUUUCUUGUGUACCAGAGAGGGGCAAACCUGAGUGAGGGCUUUACAAUGAUCUGUCUGGAAGAGCGCAUUAAAUAAAGUGAAGGGUGGAAAAGAACAUGAUCUUUAGGAACCAACAAAGUAAUUAGAGGUGUUGCCAAAAAGUUGCUCUCUAUUAUUUUGUACAGCAACGGGGUGUGAUCUAAGUGAACUGAAUUGACGUUAAUUUCUAAUGAAAAAUAAACAAAAUAUCUGUUAAAUAGAAGGGAGUAGAUAUCUCUACCAAUUUCAAAAAAUUCAAAAUCUAAGAUGUUAUGAGUGAUUUCAUAAGUAAAACACAGUAAAAUAACUUUAUUAACCCUCCAACAGCAAACCUGUGGAAUUUCUUUUUCUUCCUUCCUUCUGUCCUUCCUUCCUUCCUUCCUUCCUUCCUUCCUUCCUUCCUUCCUUCCACUGGAGUAUUGUUGACUUACAAUGUUGUAUUUGUUUCAGGUGUACAUCAGAGUGAAUUGGUCAUAGAUACAAAUAUAUCCAUUCUUUUUUCCUAUGUAGUUUAUUACAAACUACUGAGCAGAUUUUCCUGUGCUAUUCAGUAGGUUCUCAUUAAUCAUCUAUCUUAUACAGCAGUAUGUUUAUGUUGUUUCCAGCCUCCUAAUUCUUCCCUCCCACUAAUGGUUUCACCUCUGGUGACUAUUAGAUUGGCUUUGAAAUCUGUGAGUUUUUUUCUGUUAUAAACGGAAUUUAUUUAUUUUUAACACUUUUUCUUGUGAAUUUAAGAACAAAGAGGAAGCACCUAACAAUUUCUACCUGUAUGAGCUCUGAUGUUUCUUCCUCAGGAUGACCCUAGUCCUCAGUAGUCACUUUCCAUGUGGUUCCACAGGAAUGAAGUCACUGAACUUUAAUACACCUGAAAGGAGGUCAGGGUGGGGAUCAGGAAGGCGGCACUCUGUGCUCAGGGAAAAUGGACAGAUCAGGCCUUCAGAUAGUAGAUCAUUUCAGGAGAAAAUUUUAUGAACCCAAUUUUUUGCCUCUUCUUGUACCUAGAAAAGCGAUAAAGUCAAUAACAGAGACAUUUGCUCCUCAUGAUGAGCAACAACCUUCUACCAAGGUUGUGUCCUUGAUGACAGGUACCCCUUUUGCCAAAAUUAUAUAUAUACUGACUGUCCCUACCUCCUGGAGCAGAUCCUUACAGCUGUCUGAGAGGCUGUUCUCCAGGCUAUAGUCCUCAGGAAGUCCUUCCAAAUGACUGACUCCCAGCUCUCAUGUUGUCCAUUGUUUGUUCAGUCAACAAGGACCUCACUCUUCCCAGGGUACUCUUCAGGUCAGCCUGCUAUUCUCAUUCUCAAAGACGACAAGCCUGUCUCUAACCUCCAGCCUAGACUGGACCUUCUGUUGUCAAUGGAGAGUCCAAUGAAAAAGCCCUUCUCUUUGUUGUUCCAACUAGUGGUUAAGAUGUGGGUUCUUAUGAGGCUUUCAUAUGGCCAUGGAGGAAGAGCUCACUCUUCCCAGGAAGAGAGCAGAGAGAGUCUAGCUUGAAUGCCCAAUCAGCCACCUGCUUAAAAUAGUUGUCUUGAUUUAUGUUUCUAGCCACAACCUAUGAAGAAACAUAAAACAAUACUGGAGGAUUGAAAUAAAAUGUUAUUUAAAACAACAUUCAUUGGAGUUCCUCCCAUUGUGGCAUGGCAGAAAUGAAUCUGACUAGUAACCAUGAGGUUUCAGGUUUGAUCCCUGGCCUCACUUAGUGGGUUGAGGAUCCAAUAUUGCUGUAAGCUGUGGUUUAGGUCACAGAUGCAGCUCAGAUCCUGCAUUGCUGUGGCUGUGGUGUAGGCUGGCAGCUGUAGCUCCAAUUCGACCCCUAGCCUGGGAACAUCCAUAUGCCUCUGUUGUGGCCCUAAAAAGCAAAAUAGUAGUAAUAAUAAUAAAUAAAAUAACAUUCAUUGAUAAAUGACAUUUUUAGCAGUAAUAUAGGACUGGUUUUUGCCUAUUGUUUAGACCCUAAUUUUCAGGAAGUUUUCUAAACAUCUGAAUAUACUUAAAAUGUCUCUCUCACUCUAAAUGUACCUACUCAGUGUACUAUGCACCAAGUGCAAAGAAAAGAGAGUUGGUUGAUCCAUUAAUGUCCCCUUUCUAAGUUGCCUAAAUUAAAGGAAUGAAUUUCCACCAAGGUCUUUGAUGCUUUGAGAAGUUGUUAUCUUCCAGAGUGCACAUUGCUGAUACAUGUCCUGCUGGGAAGGCUCUAUCCCAAUUGGUUCCUAAAUGGAUCAUAAUCCCUGCCUGUGUCCCUUCUGUUCAGCUUUAUUGCUUUAUUUUGUUCAUCUUUCGAAGAGGCCACAUCAUGAUGGAAUGUAAGAAAUUCCUUGAAUGGCAUUGUUCCCAGGAAUAUCCUUCUCUGCUCUGUGACAACUUGCUGGAUCCUAAGGAGGAAACAGCUUUGCAGCUGGCACUGGAAGACCCUCAUCCAUUUUGAUGCUUUGCAGGCUGCUGUGAUAUCAGUGUCACCCAUGCCUAGGACACGUAUUUGUGUGAUAACUCUGUGCUCUCAGCAUCCAUUUCAGUCUUCUAGUUCUCUGAAAAGAUGUGCUUCCCUCAGUGCAGCUCUUCCAUGUUGUUCAUUGUCCGGAGAACCU
ensembl:lncRNA